rnacentral:rRNA from 1 species
UACGUAGGUGACAAGCGUUGUCCGGAUUUAUUGGGCGUAAAGAGCUCGUAGGCGGCCUGCCACGUCGGAUGUGAAAGCUCAGGGCUUAACCCUGAGAGGCCAUUCGAUACGGGCAGGCUAGAGGUAGGUAGGGGAAAGUGGAAUUCCCGGUGUAGCGGUGAAAUGCGCAGAUAUCGGGAGGAACACCAAUGGCGAAGGCAGCUCGCUGGGACGUUACUGACGCUGAGACGCGAAAGCGUGGGGAGCAAACAGG